rnacentral:rRNA from 1 species
GGGUCAGUAGGUUGGUCGUGCCACCGGUACGUACUGGUCUCACUGAUUCCUUCUUCCUGAAGAACCGUAAUGCCAUUAAUUUGGUGUUGCGGGGAGACAGGACUGUUACUUUGAAAAAAUUAGAGUGUUUAAAGCAAGCUAACGCUUGAAUACAUUAGCAUGGAAUAAUGAAAUAGGACGAUCGAUCCUAUUUUGUUGGUUUCUAGGAUUGACGUA